rnacentral:rRNA from 1 species
UACGUAGGGUGCGAGCGUUGUCCGGAAUUAUUGGGCGUAAAGGGCUCGUAGGCGGUUUGUCGCGUCGGGAGUGAAAACUCAGGGCUUAACCCUGAGCCUGCUUCCGAUACGGGCAGACUAGAGGUAUGCAGGGGAGAAUGGAAUUCCUGGUGUAGCGGUGAAAUGCGCAGAUAUCAGGAGGAACACCAGUGGCGAAGGCGGAGACCUGGGCCGAUACUGACGCUGAGGUGCGAAAGCGUGGGGAGCAAACAGG